AAAAGAUUAAGCCAUGCAUGUCUCAGUAUAAAACGAUUUAACAGUGAAAACCGCGAACGGCUCAUUACAMCAGGUAUUANUUACUUGAUCUUGAAAGAAUCCUACUUGGAUAACUGUGGUAAUUCUAGAGCUAAUACAUGCCCUAAAGCUCUGACCUCGCGGGAAGAGUGCAUUUAUUAGAUCAAAACCAAGCGGCUUCGGCCGUCUACCACUGACUUAAAGUAACUAAGCUGAUCGUAUGGUCUUGUACCGACGACGUAUCUUUCAAGUAUCUGCCUUAUCAACUUUCGAUGGUAGUGUAGUGGACUACCAUGGUUGUGACGGGUAACGGAGGAUAAGGGUUCGACUCCGGAGAGGGAGCUUGAGACACGGCUACCAUGUCUAAGGACAGCAGCAGGCGCGCAAAUUACCCACUCUCAGAACGAGGAGGUAGUGACGAAAAAUAACGAGACCGUUCUCUAUGAGGCCGGUCAUCGGAAUGGGUACAAUCUAAACCCUUUAACGAGUAUCUAUGAGAGGGCAAGUCUGGUGCCAGCAGCCGCGGUAAUUCCAGCUCUCAAAAUGCAUAGAAUUAUUGCUGCGGUUAAAAAGCUCGUAGUUGGAUCUGUGCUGGAAACUGGGUCCGCCUUCGGGUGUGCACUCAGCUUUCCGGCUUUUUGCUGGUUUUCCCGUUGUGGCCUUUACCGGUUGCAGCGGGUGGCUGGCGAGUUUACCUUGAAGAAAUCAAAGUGCUUAAUACAGGCGAUUUGCUUGAAUGUGGUGCAUGGAAUAAUAGAAAAGGAUUUCGGUUCUCUUUUAUUGGUUUUACGAGCUGAGAUAAUGGUUAACAGAGACAAACGGGGGGCMAUUCGUAUCGKUUGCGUUGAGAGGUGGAAAUUCUUGGGACCGCA
rnacentral:rRNA from 1 species